GUGGGGAAUAUUGCGCAAUGGUCGCAAGACUGACGCAGCGACGCCGCGUGUGGGAUGACGGCCUUCGGGUUGUAAACCACUGUCGGGGGGGACGAAUACAGGGCUUCGAAUAGGAGACCCUGGGUGACGGUACCUCCAAAGGAAGCACCGGCUAACUCCGUGCCAGCAGCCGCGGUAAUACGGAGGGUGCGAGCGUUGUCCGGAAUCACUGGGCGUAAAGGGCGCGUAGGUGGCUCGUUAAGUUGCCGGUGAAAUCCCGGGGCUCAACUCCGGGGCUGCCGGUAAGACUGGCGGGCUCGAGCACGGUAGAGGCAGAUGGAAUUCCCGGUGUAGCGGUGGAAUGCGUAGAGAUCGGGAAGAACACCAGUGGCGAAGGCGUUCUGCUGGGCCGUUGCUGACACUGAGGCGCGACAGCGUGGGGAGCAAACAGGAUUAGAUACCCCGGUAGUCC
rnacentral:rRNA from 1 species